UAUUUUACUUGCGAUUUUAUGAUUUUAGUUAAAAUAUUUUACUUAUGAUUUUAUGAUUCGAGUUUACAAGUCGAGUUUAUAUUGUAUGUUCCAUGUCGUGUCAAAAAAGCAUUUUUAACAACCUUGAGCCCAACAAACUUGUAAAAAAAUCCA